rnacentral:rRNA from 1 species
UACGUAGGAUGCAAGCGUUGUCCGGAAUUAUUGGGCGUAAAGAGCUCGUAGGCGGCUUGUCGCGUCGGCUGUGAAAACCUGGGGCUCAACCCCGGGCCUGCAGCCGAUACGGGCAAGCUAGAAUUCGGUAGGGGAGACUGGAAUUCCUGGUGUAGCGGUGAAAUGCGCAGAUAUCAGGAGGAACACCGGUGGCGAAGGCGGGUCUCUGGGCCGAUAUUGACGCUGAGGAGCGAAAGCGUGGGGAGCGAACAGG